CGAUGACCACCCUGCAUUCGGUUUAAUUGAGAAGUGUCUGCGGUUAACCACAACGUUCUAAUUGGGAUCAAUAGGUUAACCAGCAGCACACUUCUCUCCUGGGUGGCCGUCCGUUCGGCAGGUUUGUUCGGGAAAAAGAGUCAUUCGAAUGGCUGGGCUAUAGAAACCAGUCAUUCAUACGAACGGGAGACAAACAGACAAAUGCAAUUAAAAUACAAGCAGACAGAUGGUUCUGUCACAGCGAUUGACU